GCGGGCGGGGCGGCCGUCGCGCUCGCUCCUCCGAGGAAGGGGCGCCAGCUGAGUGUACCCGAGCGGGUGCAGGGUGUUUCUUUACGAGACGUGUACGUGUUGGCGUUUUUUCAAGCUCUCCUAGGAGCGACACACACGUCACAGGCUGUUUGGAAGACACGUGCGGUAUCUGUUUCAGCAUCCACAUCGCGUGUACAAUGUUCCAGGCCACCGCUCACCACUUUACAAACGUCAACUCACACAUGGUCGCAACAGCCCUGGGAAGGGGUAAGUGCUGUGAGUUUUAUUUCCAUCUUACCAAUGGGGAAACUGAGGCACUUGCCAACACCUCAGAGCUAGGAAAACACAGAGCCGGGAAUCAACCCAGGCAGUCUUGUCACUGAGUGGCCUUCGAUCUCCACGUGGUUCCCCCGCCCUGGCCCUGCACCAGCCCCUGACCUGUCCCGGAGCACGACAGUAAAGGAGCGAGGCUGACAGGCUUCAGUCCUGAUCUCUGACUCCAUGUAAGGACCACAGCGCCUGCUGUUGGGGUAAUAACGCAAGGUGGUACCCGGUUCUGUUUAACCCAAGCUCCACGGCACCUGGGUGUGGAAUUGCUCUGUUUGCUUGAAUCAGAAAUGUGUUUUGAAGACUAUACCUUUUUAGAGCUGCCAUAAUGAGAGGAAAUAUUAAAUUUAAUGGGAUAAAUCACCUAUAGGACUUGGCACGUAACAGAGCGUAACACGCAGCGGCCAUUAACGUCCUUUUCAGCCUCCGGUGUGUGCCACCUCUUCCUCUAGUCACGCCUGCGGCCCAGGGCACGUCCUCCCCGUGCCUGCGGGACGCUCUCCACCGCCGUCUCCACACUUCACAGCUUUCCUCCUCCCCCGCCCGGCCUGUGACCAUGCUCUCCAGCCUCCCCGAGGGCGGACUACCUGCCUGGUCCUGCUGAUGGGAGCACGGCCAUGUGAGGUGCUCCGGCCAGUGACACGUGAACGGAAGUGGUGCUGUCAGCACAGACGGACCUGUAAGAAGCCCGUGCGCGGCUGUCUCGCGCCUUCCCCCAUGCUAACACAUCCCCCAGGGGUCCAGGCGGAGCUGCCUCUCACCCGGGAGACUGUAGAGAGACCCCAGGCGAGCGCUGGCAGAUUUGCAGAGGAUGUGAAGCCGCUGAGACUCUGGACUUGUUUGUGUCACGGCAUAGGGCCGAUGCUCUAGGGGGUAGGACAGAAGUCCCUAAGGCGCCUGCAGGCCCUGCAAUGUCUUGACCUGAAGGUCAAGAUGUCUUGUGCCCUUUCCUCUCCUUUCCUCCUCUGCAUCCAGACAGGCCCCCUGCAGUGCCCCCAGGUGCCACGCUCCCUCCCCAGAGGGUCCUCGACGUGCUGUUGCCUGCCGGUCCUCCAGUCUCAUGGGCAUUCGUGGCGAUGCCGGUCCCGACAGCCACGGGCUGCCUCCCUGCUGGGGUCACUCGGCUGAUGCUAGUUUUGCCCUUGACUGCACAUGUCACGAGAACGGUCACCUAGACUUUACUCGCUCCCCACCCCAGCCCCUGGCAGAGUCUCUGGCACCUAACAGGCACUCAAAAAUAUUUACUGAGUAAAUGACUAAUAGAGUCAAUAUAUAGUCAUGAUUACAGGAUGGAAGUUAGAGCCAGAUGCCUUGGAUUCGAAUCCUCCCCUGCCGCUGAUUCGCUGUAUGAUCUGGUAUAAAUAACCGAAGUUCUCUCUGCCUCAGUUUCCUCAUCUGUAAAUGGGGAUAAAACAGCAGCCAUCUCAUAGGGUGGCUGUGAGGAUUAGGCAGACUCAGACAUGUGUGCUGUUUAUUCACUCACUGUCUCUGUCUCCAAACCCCCUCCACACUGUUCUGUGGGGCUGGUGGUUUUCUCCCUACAUUUUCCAGACUCCGCGGUGCUGGGGGCUCCCGUUAGAGACACUGAAAGGAGCUGAGGAGGAGGAGGGAAGGGGCAGAAGGGACUCCUCCAGCUUCAGUUCCUGUCCACAGUGGUGGCAGGCGCAGAGGACGCCAGAUGCUCCUCUCGGCUCCUCACCUCCUCAGCAGCACUAAUGCUGUUGGCUGGGUCGCUCUCGGUGGUCCUGGUGCCAGCCGCCCCACGUCCUCUCAGAGGGCUGAGUACCAGCCAUGUGGUGCCCCCAGCCUCAUGGGGAUCUCAGGGAAGAUCCAAGCAUCAGCUGUGUGGGAUGCCCCUCGGAGCUCCUAGGUCCUGGAAACCCACCUGCGCCCUUUUCCCAGCUCCAUGGUGGCCGGACUGUGGUUGUGCAUAUCUAGGCUGCUUCAGGGCCCCUGGUAGACAAGCGAUCGGACCCUAUUCCAGAUUCCUGAUUGGGCCCUAAUGAUUACACCAUCUAAAGCGCUCAGAACACCACCAGGCAUGCAGUAAGCACUGCGUGAGUCCUGAGUCCUGUAUUCGUCUAAGGAGGUGAAAAAGCCAACACUGCCCACUGGAACUCCUUGAAGGGUGCCAUGUGCCCGACGUCUGUCAAGGCGAGCGCACACCCUGGUGCCGAAUCCCCGGCCCACACCCGUCACUGUCACUCGGAUGCAACACCCAGGCGUGGUGUAAGCGAAUGAUGACGACAGCUUCCGUAGCAUUAGCAAUUUUUAUUUUUCCUCUUUGUUGCAUAGGAAAUGCAGUACUUGCUUCCAGUAAUCGUAUUGUAAUGUGAGAAGGUGGUAGCACUAACGGCUGAAUACAAGAGUUAAACUAACCCACACCAGCUC